UGACCUCAGAUCAGGCAAGGCUACCCGCUGAAUUUAAGCAUAUUAAUAAGCGGAGGAAAAGAAACUAACAAGGAUUCCCCUAGUAAUGGCGAAUGAAGCGGGAACAGCUCAAAUUUAAAAUCUCCGUUGCUUGCAACGGCGAAUUGUAGUUUCGAGAAGCACUUUCUCGGCGGAUCCGAGGUCGUCCAAGUUGCUUGGAACAGCACGUCGUAGAGGGUGAAAACCCCGUCUGCGGCGACCUCGGCCGUUCACGAUGUGCUUUCGACGAGUCGGGUUGUUUGGGAAUGCAGCCCAAAAUGGGUGGUAAACUCCAUCUAAAGCUAAAUAUUGGCACGAGACCGAUAGCGAACAAGUACCGUGAGGGAAAGAUGAAAAGCACUUAAAAGAGAGU
rnacentral:ncRNA from 1 species